rnacentral:misc_RNA from 1 species
AAAAAAAAAAAAAUAAAUAAAUAAUAAAAAAAAAGAAGAGAACUUUUAGCACUCAAAGCAAAGAUUAAGCAUGCUGAGAUAUGUGUGAUUUUCUUUACAGAAUCAAUUGGCAGCCAAAAACUAGACAAAGGGUGAAACUUUCAAAUGCAUCAUUGAACUAAGGCAAUAACAUGAUGGUACAACAAGCUUCUACUUAUUCAUGAAUUUAUCUCAAUCCUAUGCUUUCAUGGAAUGUGAUAUUACUUUCUCAUUUUGUUCACGUGUGUUAAAAUUUACAUGUGUGCAAGAUAUUUGGCUUUCAUGCUUCCUGAUACCAAAGGUUCUUAACUAUGAUUAAAAAUUGUAACACAUUAAUUAAACAAGUUGGAUCAGAAUCAGAAAUUUUUGAGUUACGUAUUUAUACCACAACAACACCAAUUAGCAGACUUGGAACUGAUGAUGUUCCUCAGCAAAAUAGACUCCAAAGAUUCCAAGGAUCUCAAUUAUUCCAACAAACGCGUGUGCAUAAAUUCACAACUUUGUGGAACUUAGGAAAGGGAAAAUAAGUAAAUUCUUUCUCUUUCUUUCUUUCUUU